rnacentral:rRNA from 1 species
CCUACGGGCGGCAGCAGUGAGGAAUAUUGGUCAAUGGGCGCGAGCCUGAACCAGCCAAGUAGCGUGAAGGAAGACUGCCCUACGGGUUGUAAACUUCUUUUAUAGGGGAGUAAAGUGAGCCACACGUGGCGUUCCGAAUGUACCCUAAGAAUAAGGAUCGGCUAACUCCGUGCCAGCAGCCGCGGUAAUACGGAGGAUGCGAGCGUUAUCCGGAUUUAUUGGGUUUAAAGGGUGCGCAGGGGGGGUGUUAAGUCAGUUGUGAAAGUUUGGGGCUCAACCCUAAAAUUGCCAUUGAUACUGGCAGUCUUGAGUGCAGGUGAGGUAGGCGGAAUGCGUGGUGUAGCGGUGAAAUGCAUAGAUAUCACGAAGAACUCCGAUUGCGAAGGCAGCUUACU